rnacentral:rRNA from 1 species
GAUGAACGCUGGCGGCGUGCCUAAUACAUGCAAGUCGAGCGAACGGACGAGAAGCUUGCUUCUCUGAUGUUAGCGGCGGACGGGUGAGUAACACGUGGAUAACCUACCUAUAAGACUGGGAUAACUUCGGGAAACCGUAGCUAAUACCGGAUAAUAUUUUGAACCGCAUGGUUCAAAAGUGAAAGACGGUCUUGCUGUCACUUAUAGAUGGAUCCGCGCUGCAUUAGCUAGUUGGUAAGGUAACGGCUUACCGAGGCAACGAUGCAUAGCCGACCUGAGAGGGUGAUCGGCCACACUGGAACUGAGACACGGUCCAGACUCCUACGGGAGGCAGCAGUAGGGAAUCUUCCGCAAUGGGCGAAAGCCUGACGGAGCAACGCCGCGUGAGUGAUGAAGGUCUUCGGAUCGUAAAACUCUGUUAUUAGGGAAGAACAUAUGUGUAAGUAACUGUGCACAUCUUGACGGUACCUAAUCAGAAAGCCACGGCUAACUACGU